UGUUUCCUAGUGGAACUAACUGAACCAAUUUAGUGUAAGACAAGGAGACCAAUGUGACGAUGCGGUGUGCAAGCCUGUCAUAAGCAGCAGGAAGCCUGAAGCAUCGAUUAGGUCACCACCAUAGAGGUAAAUCCGGCUCAGUUGACUAGUUUGGCUGGGACACCU
rnacentral:other from 1 species